rnacentral:rRNA from 1 species
GAACGGAAAGGCCCUGCUUGCAGGGUACUCGAGUGGCGAACGGGUGAGUAACACGUGGGUGAUCUGCCCUGCACUUCGGGAUAAGCCUGGGAAACUGGGUCUAAUACCGGAUAGGAGCCAUUUUUAGUGUGAUGGUUGGAAAGUUUUUUCGGUGUAGGAUGAGCUCGCGGCCUAUCAGCUUGUUGGUAGGGUAAUGGCCUACCAAGGCGGCGACGGGUAGCCGGCCUGAGAGGGUGGACGGCCACAUUGGGACUGAGAUACGGCCCAGACUCCUACGGGGGGCAGCAGUGGGGAAUAUUGCACAAUGGGCGCAAGCCUGAUGCAGCGACGCCGCGUGGGGGAUGACGGCCUUCGGGUUGUAAACUCCUUUCGCUAGGGACGAAGCUUUUUGUGACGGUACCUAGAUAAGAAGCACCGGCUAACUACGUGCCAGCAGCCGCGGUAAUACGUAGGGUGCGAGCGUUGUCCGGAAUUACUGGGCGUAAAGGGCUCGUAGGUGGUUUGUCGCGUCGUCUGUGAAAUUCCGGGGCUUAACUCCGGGCGUGCAGGCGAUACGGGCAUAACUUGAGUACUGUAGGGGUAACUGGAAUUCCUGGUGUAGCGGUGAAAUGCGCAGAUAUCAGGAGGAACACCGAUGGCGAAGGCAGGUUACUGGGCAGUUACUGACGCUGAGGAGCGAAAGCAUGGGUAGCGAACAGGAUUA